rnacentral:rRNA from 1 species
AUGAACGCUGGCGGCAUGGAUUAGGCAUGCAAGUCGCACGAGAAUCCCGCCUUCGGGCGGGAGGACAGUGGCGAACGGGUGAGUAACACGUGAGCAUCUGCCUCCGGGUCGGGGACAGCCCGCGGAAACGCGGAUUAAUACCCGACGGUCCCUUCGGGGCAAAGAGGAAUCGCCCGGAGAUGAGCUCGCGGCCCAUCAGCUUGUUGGCGGGGUAACGGCCCACCAAGGCGACGACGGGUAGGUGGUCUGAGAGGAUGGUCACCCACACUGGGACUGAGACACUGCCCAGACUCCUACGGGAGGCUGCAGUCGAGAAUCAUCCGCAAUGGGCGAAAGCCUGACGGUGCAAUGCCGCGUGGGGGAUGAAGGCCUUCGGGUCGUAAACCCCUGUCAGAAGGGACGAAGCAAGUGACGGUACCUUCAGAGGAAGCCACGGCUAACUACGUGCCAGCAGCCGCGGUAAUACGUAGGUGGCGAGCGUUAUUCGGAUUUACUGGGCGUAAAGGGUCCGCAGGGGGUUUGCCAAGUCCGGUGUGAAAGUCCAGGGCUCAACCCUGGAACUGCGCCGGAUACUGGUGAACUGGAGUGCGCGAAGGGCAGGCGGAAUUCCUGGUGUAGCGGUGGAAUGCGUGGAUAUCAGGAAGAACACCGACGGCGAAAGCAGCCUGCUGGCGCGCCACUGACCCUCAUGGACGAAAGCGUGGGUAGCGAACCGGAUUAGAUACCCUGGUAGUCCACGCCGUAAACGGUGCAGACCCGAUGCGGGGGGCAGCCCCCUCCGUGUCCAAGCCAACGCGUUAAAUCUGCCGCCUGGGGACUACGGUCGCAAGGCUAAAACUCAAAGGAAUUGGCGGGGGCCCGCACAAGCGGUGGAGCAUGUGGCUUAAUUCGAGGCAACGCGAAGAACCUUACCCGGACUUGA